rnacentral:rRNA from 1 species
ACACUCCUACGGGAGGCAGCAGUAGGGAAUCUUCGGCAAUGGGGGCAACCCUGACCGAGCAACGCCGCGUGAGUGAAGAAGGUUUUCGGAUCGUAAAGCUCUGUUGUAAGUCAAGAACGAGUGUGAGAGUGGAAAGUUCACACUGUGACGGUAGCUUACCAGAAAGGGACGGCUAACUACGUGCCAGCAGCCGCGGUAAUACGUAGGUCCCGAGCGUUGUCCGGAUUUAUUGGGCGUAAAGCGAGCGCAGGCGGUUUGAUAAGUCUGAAGUUAAAGGCUGUGGCUCAACCAUAGUUCGCUUUGGAAACUGUCAAACUUGAGUGCAGAAGGGGAGAGUGGAAUUCCAUGUGUAGCGGUGAAAUGCGUAGAUAUAUGGAGGAACACCGGUGGCGAAAGCGGCUCUCUGGUCUGUAACUGACGCUGAGGCUCGAAAGCGUGGGGAGCGAACAGGAUUAGAAACCCGAGUAGUCCC